CGAGUUUUGGUGGGAUGCAUCUGUGAUAGUGUGUGACGAGUUUUUAAGUGGUUCGUGCUUUGGUUUGGACGAUCGCCGGAGCCACCAUUAGGAAAACAAAAAAGUGUCAAUGUCCAAGUGUAAAUAUUUAAUAUUAAUUAAUUAUCGUUAGUUAGAAAACAAAACGCAAUGUAUAUUGCCGGGUGUGUACAGAGGACAUUGGUAGCUUUCUUCCUUUUGGCCGUGACGUCACCGUCGGCGACGCAGAACACCAUCAUAUCAGGAAGCCCGGCGUCUGGCGUGACGGGCGCGGUGACGCGCGUGUCGGCGGUGGUGAACGGGGACGUGGAGCUGCCC